rnacentral:rRNA from 1 species
GUGGGGAAUAUUGCGCAAUGGGCGAAAGCCUGACGCAGCGACGCCGCGUGGAGGAUGAAGGCCUUCGGGUCGUAAACUCCUGUCAGAGGGAAAGAAAAGGCUCUGGUAAAUAGCCAGGGUUCUUGACGGUACCCUCAGAGGAAGCCCCGGCUAACUACGUGCCAGCAGCCGCGGUAAUACGUAGGGGGCGAGCGUUGUUCGGAUUUAUUGGGCGUAAAGCGCGCGUAGGCGGUAAGGUAAGUGAGAGGUUAAAUCCCUCAGCUCAACUGAGGAACCGCCUCUUAAACUGCCUUGCUUGAGUUCAGGAGAGGAGAGUGGAAUUCCUGGUGGAGCGGUGAAAUGCGUAGAUACCAGGAGGAACACCGGUGGCGAAGGCGGCUCUCUGGACUGAUACUGACGCUGAGGCGCGAAAGCCAGGGGAGCAAACGGGAUUAGAAACCCUUGUAGUCC